rnacentral:lncRNA from 1 species
CCCCCGCGCCGGGAGCUGGGCUACCGAGCGGGGCUGGGCGGGCCAGAGAAGCCGCUCCCCCGCCAGCCCACCCGCCGCGCGGCGCUCUCGCUGCUGCACCGCCUGCCGCCCACGGCGCCCGGCGUGGGGCCCCUGCUGCUGCAGCUGGGGCCCGAGCCUCCCGCCCCACACCCCGGGGUCAGCAAGGCCUGGAGGUCUGGAGGCGCGGAGGAGCCUGAGCGGCUACCCCUCCACGUGCGCUUCCUCGAGAACUGUCAGCCGCGCGCCAGGCGGCGGCGGUCUCAGGGGGCCCUCGGCGGAGGAUGGGCCAGGGUCCCGCCGCUCAGCCCCGCGCCGCUCCGUGCCCGCCUGUCCCACGUCCCCGCGGGGCGCGAGGAGAAUGGGCUCCCUCUGCUCGUGCUGCCGCCGCCGGCCCGUCGGUGGACGCGGGACGACGGUGACUUCCUCUUUGCGGAGCCGCUUCCCCCCACCCCUCAAAUUUUCCAACAGCUUCGAGAAGCCGGAGUCGCCCCCUCACGCCGGGCCCCCAGCCGCUCCCGGACCCCCUGCUCCAGUCACCCCCCUGCCCCCCGUGCCCCCCCGGCGGCAGCCCGCCCCUGGCCCGCCACGCCCCUGGACUCCACUGCAUCCAGCCUGACGUCCUAUGACAGCGAGGUGGCCACGCUCACUCAGGGGCCCCCGCGGGCUCCCGGGGACCACCCCCACCCCCAGGCCCGCCGGCCCCAGCAGCCCCAGCGCCCCCCGCCCCGCAGCCGGGGCCCAGAUCCGCCACCGGGCACGGACUCCGGGAUCGAGGAGGUGGACAGUCGCAGCAGCAGUGACCACCCCUUGGAGACCAUCAGCAGCAGCGUCCACGCUGAGCAGCCUGUCUGCCGAGGGCGGGGGCGGGGUGGCCAGCGGGCCUGAGCUGCUGGACACCUACGUGCCUACUAUGGACGGCCAGGCCUUCGGGGGCAGCGGGCGCGUAUCCCCCGCAGCUCACGGCUCCCUCGAAGCUCCGAGGCCGGGCGCUGGGGGCAGCCGGAGGCCUUCGACCCGGCCCCAGUGGCGGGCUCCGAGACCCUGUCACCCCCACCAGCCCCACGGCUCUGUGACUGGGGCCGGAAACGACGGGCUGCUGGCCCUGAGCGCCUGUUCAGGGCCCUCUUCGGCAGGCGUGGCCGGGGGCCCGGUAUCAGUGGAGCCGGAAGUCCCCCGGUGCCCUUGCCUGCCGCCGCCUCCCUGCCUCGGAAGCUACUGCCCUGGGAGGAGGGCCCGGGCCCGCCACCACCACCCCUGUCUGGGCCCCUGUCCCAGCCUCAGGCCUCCGCCUUGGCCACCGUCAAAGCCAGCAUCAUCAGCGAACUCAGCUCCAAGCUCCAGCAGUUCCGGGGGCUCCUCAGCAGCUGGAGGCUCUGCCUUGGGCCCGGGGAGGCAGCGGGGGCACUGGGGACAGCCACCACGGUGGAGCCAGCUACGUCCCGAGGAGGGACCUCCUCCCUGCAGCGGCAGAGGCAGUAUAGAGUAGUGGUUAAGAGCUCAGAGUUUGGUGCCAUAUAACCGGGCUCUGCCACUUCCUGGCUGUGUGUCCUUAGGCUCUCCGACGACUCCCAGUCCUCGCUCCUCCCCAAGCCCGUGGGCAGCCUGUUUUGCAGAACUGGCCCAAGCCACCUCUGCCGCCACUCCCCACUGGAUCGGGGGUGUCGCCUCAGCCACUGCACCCCCGGGGGCCAUCUCACCUUCUGCUUCCUCCUCCUCCACCUCCUCCCGCCACCUCCAGGGCGUAGAGUUCGAGAUGCGGCCCCCCGCUCCGCAGGGCCCCAACCCCUCGCUGCUGCCCGCCUCGGAGCACAAGGUCAGCCCCAGCACCCAGGCCCCUCGAUCCCUGCCCAUCCUGCCUUCAGGCCCUCUCUGCCCAGGCCUCUUCGACAUCCGCGGCUCCCCCACCGGUGGGGCCGGGGGCUCCCGCGGACCCCUUCCGCCCCUGUCUUCGUGCCGCCGCACGGGGAUGUCCAGGGGGCCUGGGAGGAGCCUUGUCGGGGGCCUCUCCGCUCCCUGGCCGCCCACCCGCCUGCUGCCGCUGCCCCCGGACAAACCGUUUGGCGUAAACCUCUGGGCUUCUGGACCAAGUUCGAUGUGGCCGACUGGCUGGAGGUGGCUGGGCCUGGCGAGCACCGGGCCCGCUUCCUGGACCACAGAGAUCGAGCGGCUCCCACCUGCCCGCCUUGACCAAGGAGGACUAUGUGGACCUGGGGGUCACCAGGGUGGGCCACCGCAUGAACAUCGACCGGGCUCUCAAGUUUUUCCUGGAGAGGUGAUGGCUGGCCUGGACGGACCGGCCGUCCACAGAACCCUGCCGCCAGCGCCUCUCACCUCCCGUUCUCGCCGGGCAGGGACUCUGCCGGAACUGCGCCCUGCCCUGUCUCCCGAGGCCUGAGGUCACCAGGUGGCCCCAUCCGGGCCGGACACUUGCACCUCACAGGAGGGGGGCGGCUGACACAGGACUUCGAAAGUGACGUGUGGGGAGCGGCGGGGAGGGACGGAGGAAUCGCCGGGACUGAGGAGGAGGAAGGGUCGAUCCUGGGGGAGGGGACAGACAGAGCCAUAGAGGGCCAGCCCUGAGCCUGACCGGAUGGGGGCGACCCCAGGCCGCAGGGGAGGGGUGCCCUCACAUUCCACCACCUGCGCCCCUCUAGCAGCCUUCCCGCCUCCCCAGGCCCCUCCGCCCCUUUGCCCGCCCGCUCCCCAGCACACAGCUGCCCUCCCCCGCCUCUGCUCGCUCGGCUCCGUUGCACGCCUGCUCGCCCUCUCCUCCCCUCAGCUGCAGCUUUGCACAAAUCUGCCCUCACUGUCUCCGCACACUCCGCCUUCCCGCCCGCCCAGCUCGGCUUUCCUUGCACAUGUUUCUUUCCUCAUGCCUCCACUCCUCCGCACACCCCUUCUCCUGGGGCCCCUCAUGCAGUCUCCAGACCGCCCUCCGCUCACGCCGGUCCCGUGAUGCAGACACACGCGGGACCCAGCUUGCGGGAACCCCCAGCCCCCGCCGCGGCCUGGACCUGCGCAUUCCCUCCCCCAGGGACCCUGUCUUUGCUCAGCUCUCGUGCGCUCGCUGUCGUCUGCUCCCCGAGAUACGCGCACCUCCAUCCUCCUACACGGAGGUGCUUUCCCCCUCUGAUCAUGAACCCCACAUUCUCGCUCUGCUCACAGUGACCCCUGCCCUCUUGCACUGUCACUUUGGCCACUCGCCCCUGCGGAACUGCUGCUCACAGCCGCGCGGCCCAUCUCCGCCCUCUCCCACACGCACCUUCCCCAUGCGCUCCCUGACGGAUCCCGGGGCCCUCUUUCCUUUUGUAACGCACCCAGACAUUGCUGCACACUCCCGCUUUCUGCUAACUCCUCGGCGACUUCCCCACCUGCCCCGAGGCCCCACCCCUCCUGGGCACGCUCGCCCUUCCCACGUGCACUGGGGCUGCGCUGCCGUCUGCCCCGAUGCCCGCCUCUUCCACCUAGCUCCCAGCUCACCAGGCUUCUUCUCUCCUCCGCUCACCUGCCACGUCCUCCCCGGGCCAUCUUCCCACCCAUUUUGCACGAGGAGCCCCUUCUGGCCUUUCCUCCCCUCCCAGACCCCCUCCCUCCAGCAUGGCCGCUCCGUCCCGCACGCUGCCCCUACCCCUUAUUCCUGGGGCUUGGGAAUUUUAAAGCCACCUCUCCCCCCUUGGAAGCCCCUUCCCCUGCUGCGGGUAAAGGGGGAGGGCACUGCCCUCAGGUUCCCCCCAUGUUCAGCUGCCAAAGAAGGGCGCUCCCCUCCUUCCCCACGCCCAUCCCCCUCUGCUGCCCCUACCCCCACGGUGGGGAGGCGCUCCGUCCACGAGGGGAGGGGCAGCCCUCCCCUCACCAUGUCAGGGAUCUGCGGGGAACCUUGUGGGAGGGUCGCGGGAGGGGGAGGGGGUGGCAGGACAGAAGCAGAGGUCGUGCGCUGGGCCCCUACCGCCCCCCUCCCCCUCCCCCUGGUCGGAUGCCCCCAGUCCGCAGGGGGCCUGCGCCGGCGCCUGUCUAUCAAGGGCUUGUUCAUUCUGGAUGGGGUGCCGCGGGGUUGGGAGGGUGUUGGGG